rnacentral:rRNA from 1 species
GACGAACGCUGGCGGCGUGCUUAACACAUGCAAGUCGAGCGGAAAGGCCCUUCUGGGUCCUCGAGCGGCGAACGGGUGAGUAACACGUGAGUAACCUGCCCCAGACUUUGGGAUAACCCUCGGAAACGGGGGCUAAUACCGGAUACGACACAGCUUCGCAUGGGGUCUGUGUGGAAAGUUUUUCGGUUUGUGAUGGGCUCGCGGCCUAUCAGCUUGUUGGUGGGGUGAUGGCCUACCAAGGCGACGACGGGUAGCCCGCCUGAGAGGGCGACCGGCCACACGGGGACUGAGGGACGGACCAGACUCCUACGGGAGGCAGCAGUGGAGAAUAUUGCACAAUGGGCGGGAGCCUGAUGCAGCGACGCCGCGUGAGGGAUGACGGCCUUCGGGUUGUAAACCUCUUUCAGCAGGGACGAAGCGUAAGUGACGUUACCUGCAGAAGAAGCGCCGGCCAACUACGUG